rnacentral:rRNA from 1 species
GACGAACGCUGGCGGCGUGCUUAACACAUGCAAGUCGAACGCUGAAGCUUGGUGCUUGCACUGGGUGGAUGAGUGGCGAACGGGUGAGUAAUACGUGAGUAACCUGCCCUUGACUCUGGGAUAAGCCUGGGAAACUGGGUCUAAUACUGGAUACGACAUGUCACCGCAUGGUGGUGUGUGGAAAGGGUUUUACUGGUUUUGGAUGGGCUCACGGCCCAUCAGCUUGUUGGUGGGGUAAUGGCUCACCAAGGCGACGACGGGUAGCCGGCCUGAGAGGGUGAACGGCCACACUGGGACUGAGACACGGCCCAGACUCCUACGGGAGGCAGCAGUGGGGAAUAUUGCACAAUGGGCGGAAGCCUGAUGCAGCGACGCCGCGUGAGGGAUGACGGCCUUCGGGUUGUAAACCUCUUUCAGCACGGAAGAAGCGAAAGUGACGGUACGUGCAGAAGAAGCGCCGGCUAACUACGUG